rnacentral:rRNA from 1 species
AAGUCGUAACAAGGUCUCCGUUGGUGAACCAGCGGAGGGAUCAUUACUGAGUCUUAUCUCAAAACCCUUUGUGAACCUUUAUAACCUGUUGCUUCGGCGGCGCGGCCCCCGGGUCGUGCCCGCCGGUAUCAUCAGAAUCUCUGUUCGAACCCGACGAUACUUCUGAGUGUUCUAAGCGAACUGUUAAAACUUUCAACAACGGAUCUCUUGGCUCCAGCAUCGAUGAAGAACGCAGCGAAACGCGAUAUGUAAUGUGAAUUGCAGAAUUCAGUGAAUCAUCGAAUCUUUGAACGCACAUGGCGCCUUCCAGUAUUCUGGCGGGCAUGCCUGUUCGAGCGUCAUUUCAACCAUCAAGCCCUGUGCUUGUGUUGGGGGCCUGCGGCUGCCGCAGCCCCCUAAAGGCAGUGGCGGGCUCGCUGUCAUUCCGAGCGCAGUAACUUAUCUCGCUUUGGUCGUGGCGGUGGGCACCUGCCGUAAAACACUCUUUUUCACAAGGUUGACCUCGGAUCAGGUAGGAAUACCCGCUGAACUUAA